rnacentral:sRNA from 1 species
GUGGAUGGACGGACCCCUGCCGUCAGAGCUUCGGCAGCGCCAAGACAGACCAGGCCACAGCCAAGUUGCUUUGCAGAACCCAGGAGCUGCUCCCGGGGUCCUGCCCUCAGACCCCCUGUGCUGGCCCUCAGCUCUGUCCUGCCCUGAGUCCCAGGCUUGCCCGGCUGGCAGACACGUGGGCUCUGCCUUUCAGCUGGAGCGGAUGCUGGAGAGCACAGCUGUGCGUGCCCAGAAGCAGCUGAUCCUGCUGCACAGGGAGGAGGGCCUGGCGCCAGCCCGCACCGUGGAGUGGCUCAACAUGCGGAGCUGGUGCUCUGGCCACCUGCACCUCUGCUGCCCGCGCCGCGUCUUCUCCAGGAGGAGCCUGCCCAAGCUGGUGAGGCGGGGAGAGGAGGCUGCCUGCCCGUGGCUCCGUGGUUCCUUUCCUCGAACGUUCGAAGCAUUCUUCACAUUCCCCACCUGAUUCCCUGACACCUGCGCUCCCUGGGCCCUUCCUGUGCUUGUGAACGUGACCCUGCCUCACGUCUCCUUCAUCUUGCCCUUUGGGCCUCUGGUGGCCACGGCUAGGAGGCAGCUGGUCCGGUGGGGGCAGGCACAGGGCGGCCAUCGGGCUGGGGGCUUAGUGAACCCUGGGGAUGGGCCUGAAUCAGGGGGCUCAGUAAACCCUGGGGAUGGGCCUGACAUCAGAGGGGCUCAGUGAACCCUGGGGGAUGGGCUUGAAUCAGGGGGCUCAGUGAACUCUGGGGGAUGGGCCUCAUGUCAGGGCUGCUCAGGGCUGAGGCUGAGGCUCCCACAUCCAGCUGAUGAGGGUGUCCUCAGGCCAGCGCUGCUCCCUCCUUUGGGCAGAAGACCCUGAGACUUUUAAUUCCAGUGUCCUCAGGCAGCCCUGGGGCCUGAGGGUGAGGGGUGCACUGAGGUGCUGACCAGUCGUAUCAGUCAGGGCCUGCUGCAUACUGGAGAGGAUUUGGGGUCAGUUUGGGUCAGAAGUGGAGGAAACUCCCCCCAGUUAAGCCAGGAUGCGAGGUCUCGGCCGAGGGUGGGGCCCUGCACCAGCCCUGCCUGACGGCUCCUCCCCCAGGUGGAGAUGUACAAGCGUGUCUUCCAGCGACCCCCGAACCGACACUCAGACUUCUCCCACCUGGCAAGGGUGCUGACGGGCAACGCCAUUGCCCUGGUGCUCAGGGGAGGGGGAGCAAGAGGCUGUGCUCAGGUGGGCGUUCUCAAGGCCUCGGCGGAGUGCGGCAUCCCUGUGGACAUGGUGAGAGGCACUUCCAUCGGGGCCUUCAUGGGUGCCCUGUACUCUGAGGAGCGGAACUACAGCCAGAUGCGGAUCCGGGCCAAGCAGUGGGCUGAGGGCAUGACAUCCAUGAUGAAGGCCGCACUGGACCUCACCUACCCCAUCACAUCCAUGUUCUCUGGAGCCGGCUUCAACAGCAGCAUCUGCAGCGUCUUCAAGGACCGGCAGAUCAAGGUGCACCCCCACCCUCAGGAGCCCAUACAGCCCCCAGCGCCUGUCCCCUCCUGGCCCCCCACCUCUUGGCCCUGGGUCAGCCUCCCCAGACACGGGACAGGAGCGUGAUGGGAGAGGGCCCGUCUGAGCCCCGUCUGCCCGCAGGACCUGUGGAUUCCUUAUUUCGCCAUCACCACCGACAUCACAGCCUCGGCCAUGCGGGUCCACACCGACGGCUCCCUGUGGCGGUACGUGCGUGCCAGCAUGUCCCUGUCCGGUUACAUGCCCCCUCUCUGUGACCCCAAGGACGGACACCUGCUGAUGGACGGGGGCUACAUCAACAACCUCCCAGGUACUGCGGUGGGGGGACCACGCCCGGCAGGAGCACAGUCUCCUGGGUCACACCGCCCCGCGGCCCCUGCCGCAGCUGCCUCCGCUCCGAGAAGCCUGGGCUGGAACACGUUUUCCUUAGAGUGUGCCAAGGGAAAAUGUCAGGCUGGCAUCAGAGCUCCGAGAACAUGCACACGCGUGUACACGCACACGCAGGCACCGGCAGCAUGUGCUCCAGCAUAUGGCCCUGUUUGUCAGCUCAGCAGCGUGCAGAACAAAGGCCAAGUCGAGGAACUGGGAGCAAUUAAGCCCCAUCUGUGCCCACAGUCAGAAACUAACAGCCUGCAGGCGUCGAGCUUGCCGGGGGCCAGGCCACUCCUGUCACCUGUAGGAUAUGCGGUCAGAAAGGCCCAGGACACAGCCGUGUGCCCACAGCUGCCCACCGAGCUGGGCGUGUGGUCUUCUGCCUGUAGAAGGUGUAAUGGCGGAGAGGAGACCCCACAACCCCCAGGUCAGGGCUCGGCCAGGCAGGCUCUGCCCCCGUCCCCUGGCUCUGCAUGCCUGUCCAGGGGGUAACCAGGGCUGGCUUCUCCCUAGCGGAUGUGGCCCGGUCCAUGGGGGCAAAAGUGGUGAUCGCCAUUGACGUGGGCAGCCGAGAUGAGACGGACCUCACCAACUAUGGGGAUGCGCUGUCUGGGUGGUGGCUGCUGUGGAAACGCUGGAACCCCUUGGCCACGAAAGUCAAGGUGGGGUGCUACCGGGCGGGCUGGGCUGUCCCUGCUGCUCUUCCCUGCAGCUCCACACCUGUCCUGCGGCAGGGGAGUGGGGGCCGCUCCUGGGCUCUGAGGCCAGCAGGUCUGGGGCCACCCCUCACCACCCCUGCCUGAGCCCAGCUCGGGUGAAGGAAGGCACGAGGCUGGACGGGCCUGAGGGCUGUGGCCGCCCGCAGGGAGGACCCCCGGCCGGGUGCUGCUACCCUCUCCCCCCAGAAACUACCUACCCCAGAGGAUGGGUCCACAGAACCUGUCCUGCGCCACGGGCCAGGCUGGGACGGGGUAGGGGCCGGGGCAGGAGACUCAGGCGGCUGUGACGGCAGCAGGUGUUGAACAUGGCAGAGAUUCAGACUCGCCUGGCCUACGUGUGCUGCGUGCAGCAGCUGGAAGUGGUGAAGAGCAGUGACUACUGCGAGUACCUGCGCCCCCCCAUCGACAGCUACGGCACCCUGGACUUCGGCAAGUUCAACGAGAUCUGCGUGACUGCCGGCCACCCGCGGCAAAGGAGGCGGGCGGAGGCACUCUGGUGGCUGCCCCUCCCCGCUUCCCCCUUUGGAGAACACAGGAAGUGGAGGGCUCACCACACCUCCUGACGGGGUCCUGGGGGUGUGCACAGGAAGUGGGCUACCAGCACGGGCGCACGGUGUUUGACAUCUGGAGCCGCAGCGGCGUGCUGGAGAAGAUGCUGCGCGACCAGCAGGGGCCGAGCAAGAGGCCCGCGAGUGCGGUGAGUGCGGGCGCCAGGACCACGCCCAGUUCCUCAGGCCACGCCCACACCCGGUUCAUCAGGCCACGCCCAGCUCCUCAGGCCACAGGCCCUGCCCCCCUGGCCAAAGACUCCAGGGCUAGGACAAGGAUUGCUCAGGACUGCGCAUCUCCCCGGCCCCUGCCCUUACUUGGGGGGCAGGUGGAGGCUGCAGAGAGGGCACAGGGUGUGUGGGGCCUCCCCACAGGAAGUAGGCUGGGAACUGGCAGGCAGGUGUCCACAGGCAACGUGCUGUCCUCACCCCACCCCUAGGUCCUCACCUGUCCCAACGCCUCCUUCACGGACCUUGCCGAAAUUGUGUCUCGCAUUGAGCCCGCCAAGCCCACCAUGGUGGAUGGUGAGUGGAGGCGCAAGACGAGGCCGUGGAGACGUGCGUGGCCUCCUGAUGCUGUGUUGGGCUAGAACCCCCCACCCCAGAGGCCCACGGCCUCCCCUCCUGCCCACGUCCACGCCCAGGCUCCAGCAGCUGGGGUGCUUGGUGGCACUUCUCCGUCCUGGGCACCACGUGUCCCCACAGCAGUGGGACUGUGACCACCCCGGGUCACCCAGCCCCUGCCCUUCAUUCACCCCAAGUCCCAGCCACACCUCAGGCCUGAGGUAGAACCACGUUUUGCCUCCCACCCCACCCAGUGGGAAACCGGAAUGAAGGCUGCUUGUUGGAGGGGCCGCAGGGCAAGAAGGGUGGGUCCACUACCCUCCAUGCUCCAUCCAGGGCCCUGCGCUUGGGCCUUCAGCCAGUGGCCUUCUCACAGCAGAACUGGACAUUCUCCUGGGAGAUGUCUUCAUGCUGCCGCGGGCCGAGAGGGCCCUGGGCAAGGCAGCCCCUAUCCACAGAUGCCACGUCUGGGGUGCUGGAGCCCUCAGGGUGCUUGGCUGACAAGGGGAGGAGUGUCUGCCUGCUCCUUGUCCUUGUGGAAGACCUACCAAGUGAUGUGCUGGGGCAAGGCUGGAGCCAGACAGAACCAGGGGUGGUGUGCAGGGCUGUCCUGGGAGCAGGUGGCUGCGUGUAGGGCCCCAGGCCACCUGGGGGCGGGGGUGGGCAUCUGUGGCCGGUUCUGCCUCUGAGUGUGGCUAUGCUGGGCACGGUCCCUUCCUUGGGAGGGGACUGAUGCAGCCCUACCCUUGGCGCCAGACGAAUCUGACUACCAGACGGAGUACGAGGAGGAGCUGCUGGACGUCCCCAGAGAUGCAUACGCAGACUUCCAGAGCACCUCGGCCCAGUGGGGCUCAGACUCGGAGGACGAGUCCUCGCUGCGGCAUCGACACCCCAGCCUGGCUUUCCCAAAACUGUCUGAGGGCUCCUCUGACCAAGACGGGUAGAGGCCUCUGCUAAAGAGCCCAGAUGCAGCGUCUUCUGUGGGACUGUCCCCAAGGCUGAGGCUCCUGCCAAGUCCUAGGGGCCUCUGUGCCUGCCCUGCUGGAAGCCCUGACUUCCCUGGGGUCCCAGGCUGUGUUAGGGUUCUCUGGGCCUCUUCUUUGUACCGGCAGCCCUGCAUACAGGGCUCUGUGAGCCCCCCGCAGUCCUAUGAGGCCCCUGAAGCCCUGUGAGCCCCCCGAAACGUCUGUGAGCCCCCCUGCAGUCCUUUGAGGCCCCUGAAGCUCUGUGAGGCCCCUGAAGCCCUGUGAACCCCCUGCAGCCCUGUGAGCCUCCCUGCUGCCCUGUGAGCCCCCUACAGCCCUGUGAGGCCCCCCAAAGCCCUGUGAAGCCCCCCGAAACCCUGUGAACCGCCUGCUGCCCUGUGAGGCCCCCCUGCAGCCCUGUGAGCCCCCCUGCAGCCCUGCGAAGCCCCCAAAGCCCUGUGAACUGCCUCCUGCCCUGUGUGGUGUGGGAGCCCUGAUGCUGCAGUGUGAUGUUUCAAUAAAGGCGGAUCUGACUGUU